rnacentral:rRNA from 1 species
CUACGGGGCGCUCCAGUGAGGAAUAUUGGUCAAUGGGCGCAAGCCUGAACCAGCCACUCCGCGUGUAGGAUGACUGCCCUAUGGGUUGUAAACUACUUUUAUACAGGAAGAAACCUCCAUACGUGUAUGGAGCUGACUGUACUGUAAGAAUAAGCAUCGGCUAACUCCGUGCCAGCAGCCGCGGUAAUACGGAGGAUGCAAGCGUUAUCCGGAUUUAUUAGGUCUAAAGGGUGCGUAGGCGGAUAUUUAAGUCAGUGGUGAAAUCCUACAGCUUAACUGUAGAACUGCCAUUGAUACUGGAUGUCUUGAGUUUAGUUGAGGUAGGCGGAAUGUGUAGUGUAGCGGUGAAAUGCUUAGAUAUUACACAGAACACCGAUUGCGAAGGCAGCUUACUAAGCUAACACUGACGCUGAGGCACGAAAGCGUGGGGAGCGAACAGGAUUAGAUACCCGUAGUC